rnacentral:misc_RNA from 1 species
UCUCCGUUGGUGAACCAGCGGAGGGAUCAUUACAGAGUCGUAAAACACUCCCAAACCCAUGUGAACUUACCAUUCUGUUGCCUCGGCGGGCCUCUGGGAUUCGUCCCAUGUCCGCCGGCGGCCCCUAUAAACUCUGUUACUUAUAAGCAAUCUGAGCGUUUUCCAAAAAUAAAGUUAAAACUUUCAACAACGGAUCUCUUGGUUCUGGCAUCGAUGAAGAACGCAGC